UUCCAGACUCCUACGGGAGGCAGCAGUGAGGAAUAUUGGUCAAUGGGCGGAAGCCUGAACCAGCCAAGUCGCGUGAGGGAAGAAGGCCCUGCGGGUCGCAGACCUCUUUGGACGGGGAGCAAGGCCGCCGACGUGUCGGCGGAAGGAGAGUACCCGUAGAACAAGCAUCGGCUAACUCCGUGCCAGCAGCCGCGGUCAUACGUAGGAUCCGAGCAUUAUCCGGAGUGACUGGGUGUAAAGAGUUGCGUAGGUGGCAUAAUAAGUAGCUAGUGAAAUCUGGUGGCUCAACCAUUCAGACUAUUAGCUAAACUGUUAAGCUCGAGACCGUUAGGGGUAACUGGAAUUUCUAGUGUAGGGUUGAAAUCCGUAGAUAUUAGAAGGAACACCAAUAGCGUAGGCAGGUUACUGGGACGGUUCUGACACUAAGGCACGAAAGCGUAGGGAGCAAACGGGAUUAGAUACCCCGGUAAAG
rnacentral:rRNA from 1 species